rnacentral:snRNA from 1 species
AGUUUUGCACAGUCGCAGUAUCGUAGCCCAUGAGGUUUAUUUAUCUGAGGCGCCAUUAUUGCUAAUUGAAAACUUUUCCCAA